rnacentral:rRNA from 1 species
GAUGAACGCUGGCGGCGUGCCUAAUACAUGCAAGUCGAGCGAACGGACGAGAAGCUUGCUUCUCUGAUGUUAGCGGCGGACGGGUAAGUAACACGUGGAUAACCUACCUAUAAGACUGGGAUAACUUCGGGAAACCGGAGCUAAUACCGGAUAAUAUUUUGAACCGCAUGGUUCAAAAGUGAAAGACGGUCUUGCUGUCACUUAUAGAUGGAUCCGCGCUGCAUUAGCUAGUUGGUAAGGUAACGGCUUACCAAGGCAACGAUGCAUAGCCGACCUGAGAGGGUGAUCGGCCACACUGGAACUGAGACACGGUCCAGACUCCUACGGGAGGCAGCAGUAGGGAAUCUUCCGCAAUGGGCGAAAGCCUGAUGGAGCAACGCCGCGUGAGUGAUGAAGGUCUUCGGAUCGUAAAACUCUGUUAUUAGGGAAGAACAUAUGUGUAAGUAACUGUGCACAUCUUGACGGUACCUAAUCAGAAAGCCACGGCUAACUACGUG